rnacentral:rRNA from 1 species
AGAGUUUGAUCCUGGCUCAGAUUGAACGCUGGCGGCAGGCCUAACACAUGCAAGUCGAGCGGUAGCACAAGAGAGCUUGCUCUCUGGGUGACGAGCGGCGGACGGGUGAGUAAUGUCUGGGAAACUGCCUGAUGGCGGGGGAUAACUAGUGGAAACGGUAGCUAAUACCGCAUAACGUCGCAAGACCAAAGUGGGGGACCUUCGGGCCUCACGCCAUCAGAUGUGCCCAGGUGGGAUUAGCUGGUAGGUGGGGUAACGGCUCACCUAGGCGACGAUCCCUAGCUGGUCUGAGAGGAUGACCAGCCACACUGGAACUGAGACACGGUCCAGACUCCUACGGGAGGCAGCAGUGGGGAAUAUUGCACAAUGGGCGCAAGCCUGAUGCAGCCAUGCCGCGUGUGUGAAGAAGGCCUUCGGGUUGUAAAGCACUUUCAGCGAGGAGAAAGGGUAAUGUGUUAAUAAGACAUUGCAUUGACGUUACUCGCAGAAGAAGCACCGGCUAACUCCGUGCCAGCAGCCGCGGUAAUACGGAGGGUGCAAGCGUUAAUCGGAAUUACUGGGCGUAAAGCGCACGCAGGCGGUUUGUUAAGUCAGAUGUGAAAUCCCCGCGCUCAACGU